UACGUAGGGGGCUAGCGUUGUCCGGAAUCAUUGGGCGUAAAGAGCGUGUAGGCGGUCCGGUAAGUCCGCUGUGAAAGUCGGGGGCUCAACCCUCGAAUGCCGGUGGAUACUGUCGGGCUAGAGUCCGGAAGAGGCGAGUGGAAUUCCUGGUGUAGCGGUGAAAUGCGCAGAUAUCAGGAGGAACACCGAUGGCGAAGGCAGCUCGCUGGGACGGUACUGACGCUGAGGCGCGAAAGCGUGGGGAGCAAACAGG
rnacentral:rRNA from 1 species